rnacentral:snRNA from 1 species
GUGCUCGCUUUGGCAGCACAUUUGCUAAAAUUGGAAUGAUACAGAGAAGAUUAGCAUGGCCCCUGCACAAGGAUGACACCCAAAUUCGUGAAGCCUUCCGUUAUUUU